CUGUUUUCCAGAGUUCAAGUACAGCCCGAAGCAAAGUCUGUCAGCAGGCCCUCGAAAAACUUAAGGACUUGACCACAAGAUGGCAGCAGUGAAAAGAGAUAAUUGCAGGACUGGUUGUUCUCAUUUGACAUCAUUGAUGUCUUGCAUAUGUGACUCUGUCUGGAGAUGGAUCAGGUUAUGGACACAACAGGAACAGGAAUACGGAGUUGUUGGGUUGCUAGGUAACCUACAGGCUAAAUGCACAUUGAUCUAAGUCUCCGGAAUAUUUAUGCCUCAGGAAGUUGAAACAUCUGGUGAGUUGGUGGAGUGCUGAUUGGCUGAACCUCUACAACUCCGAGCUCUUGUGCUGCCGAGUCCUGUACAGGUGGCAGUUGUUUCUAUGAAACAUGAGUGGAUGUAAUUAAAGAUCCUGUCAUUUCGGGAUAAUGGGCUUUUCGGUAAUGAAGAACGCUCGUAGCUCAUGAUGAUAUGUAAUCUGUUUGGAUCUUGCUUAGCACAGCUUUCAAACAUACUGUUGGAAUGUAUAGUUAAAAAUGUCAGUCAAACACAAGUAUAAAUGUUUAGAAAAACACUUUUUUUUGCAUAACACAGAAAACAGACCAGAUUAAAUUCAUUGUAUUUUAGGUUUCCUUUGAUACCUUUUGAUUGCAGGAGACAGAGAUCAAACAAUGCUGUGAAGGUGUAAUCUUUCCAAUUCGUGACAGUAA